AUACGUAGGGAGCGAGCGUUGUCCGGAAUUACUGGGUGUAAAGGGAGCGUAGGCGGGAUGGCAAGUUGGAUGUUUAAACUAACGGCUCAACUGUUAGGUGCAUCCAAAACUGCUGUUCUUGAGUGAAGUAGAGGCAGGCGGAAUUCCUAGGGUAGCGGGGGAAUGCGUAGAUAUUAGGAGGAACACCAGUGGCGAAGGCGGCCGGCUGGGCUUUAACUGACGCUGAGGCUCGAAAGCGUGGGGAGCAAACAGGAUUAGAUACCCUGGUAGUCCACGCUGUAAACGAUGAUUACUAGGUGUGGGGGGACUGACCCCUUCCGUGCCGCAGUUAACACAAUAAGUAAUCCACCUGGGGAGUACGGCCGCAAGGUUGAAACUUAAAGGAAUUGACGGGG
rnacentral:rRNA from 1 species